rnacentral:rRNA from 1 species
GGCGAACGGGUGAGUAACACGUGGGUGAUCUGCCUUGCACUCUGGGAUAAGCUUGGGAAACUGGGUCUAAUACCGGAUAGGAACCGUCUUUAGUGUGGUGGUUGGAAAGUUUUUUCGGUGCAAGAUGAGCUCGCGGCCUAUCAGCUUGUUGGUGAGGUAGUGGCUCACCAAGGCGAUGACGGGUAGCCGGCCUGAGAGGGCGACCGGCCACACUGGGACUGAGACACGGCCCAG